rnacentral:lncRNA from 1 species
UAAUUAUCUAUAUAUUCUUUAAAAUCUCGAAAAUAUUUUAUUUACAUAUAUAUUUUUUUUCUUUCUAAUAUGCUACUCAUAUUUUUUUCGUUAUUUCAAAAUAUUUUUGUACUUAUCACUUGUUAAGUUAACUUUGAUUAAACGUGAGCUAAAUAUCUACCAAAGUUAAAAAAAAAAAUCAAAAUAUCUAUUUGUGCUCAUAGUUUAAGAGCAAAUAAGAAAAACAAAUGAUGAUAAAAGGUAUAUUUGAAAGGAGAAAGUAAUAAUUUCAUAUAAAUAACAGUUAUUAUUAACUGUUUAUUAACAAAAUUUAACUCUAGAGGUAUAUUUAAAAUAAAUUGGAGUGUAAAAAAAAUAUUUUUAAUAUUAGCCUUCUAAAAUGGGUUAAUUAGAAAGUCAAAAAAUUUUUCAUGAGUAUAUAA